rnacentral:rRNA from 1 species
AUUCCAGCUUCAGUAGCGUAUAUUAAAGUUGUUGCAGUUAAAAAGCUCGUAGUCGCAUUUCUGGCGAGAGGAAUUGGUCCGACAUUUAUUGUGGGUACUCGAUUCUCUCUCGCCAUCCUUGAGUGGUCCGUUCUGGCAUUUAGUUGUCGGAGCGUCAGCCGCUCAUCGUUUACUGUGAGAAAUUUAGAGUGUUCAAAGCAGGCUUAUGCCGUUGAAUAUAUUAGCAUGGAAUAAUAAGAUAGGACCUCGGUGCUAUUUUGUUGGUUUGCGCACAGAGGUAAUGAUGAACAGGGACAGUUGGGGGUAUUUGUAUUUCGUUGUCAGAGGUGAAAUUCUUAGAUUUACGAGAGACAAACUACUGCGAAAGCAUUUACCAAGGAUGUUUUCAUCA